GACCUACGUGUCCACGUGUCGAGGAAUUUGCCUAUCUCCAAUUUUCCUGCAGGGUAUAAAGUCACUUCAAUUUGUUAAUCACAGGGCCUUGGAACACCACUUGAUAUAAAUUAGAGGUAUAUUAAACUCGAGACCCGAUAUCUUUACGCUUGGAAGCUACUCCUUGGAAAGCUAAAUCAGAUUUACCAAGUCCUUAACCUAAUUUAAUUCGUGAAAGAGAAC
rnacentral:lncRNA from 1 species